GGGUUGUGAGGUUAAGCGAAUAAGCGUACACGGUGGAUGCCUAGGCAAUCAGAGGCGAUGAAGGACGUGCUAAUCUGCGAUAAGCGUCGGUAAGGUGAUAUGAACCGUUAUACCCGACGAUUUCCGAAUGGGGAAACCCAAUAUCCAAUGGAUAUUAUCAUUAACUGAAUACAUAGGUUAAUGAAGCGAACCGGGAGAACUGAAACAUCUCAGUACCCCGAGGAAAAGAAAUCAACCGAGAUUCCCCUAGUAGCGGCGAGCGAACGGGGAACAGCCCAGAGUCUUAAUCAAUAGCAGCAUCAGGAGAACGGUCUGGAAAGUCCGGCAGUAAAGGGUGAUAGCCCCGUAUCCGAAGAUGUUGUUAUUGUGAACUCGACGAGUAGGGCGGGACACGUGUUAUCCUGUCUGAAUAUGGGGGGACCAUCCUCCAAGGCUAAAUACUCCUGAUUGACCGAUAGUGAACCAGUACCGUGAGGGAAAGGCGAAAAGAACCCCGGCGAGGGGAGUGAAAAAGAACCUGAAACCGUGUACGUACAAGCAGUAGGAGCCCCAUCACUCAAGUGCCUCGCACUGAGUGAUUGGACAAACCACUCGAAAACAGCGCAGCGUUUACCUACAAAGUGGAUUGAUUUUUUCAAGCCGUCGCGCAGUGUACAUAGAAGUACACGAGCAACGGAAGUUAAAAAAUCGAGCCAGUUUGACAGUAAAAGCAAGCGGGACAUUUGAGGAUGGGGUGACUGCGUACCUUUUGUAUAAUGGGUCAGCGACUUAUAUUCUGUAGCAAGGUUAACCGUAUAGGGGAGCCGUAGGGAAACCGAGUCUUAACUGGGCGAAUGAGUUGCAGGGUAUAGACCCGAAACCCGGUGAUCUAUCCAUGGGCAGGUUGAAGGUUGGGUAACACUAACUGGAGGACCGAACCGACUAAUGUUGAAAAAUUAGCGGAUGACUUGUGGAUGGGGGUGAAAGGCCAAUCAAACCGGGAGAUAGCUGGUUCUCCCCGAAAGCUAUUUAGGUAGCGCCUCGUGAAUUCAUCUUCGGGGGUAGAGCACUGUUUCGACUAGGGGGUCAUCCCGACUUACCAACUCGAUGCAAACUGCGAAUACCGAAGAAUGUUAUCACGGGAGACACACGGCGGGUGCUAACGUCUGUCGUGAAGAGGGAAACAACCCAGACCGCCAGCUAAGGUCCCAAAGUCAUGGUUAAGUGGGAAACGAAGUGGGAAGGCUCAGACAGCCAGGAUGUUGGCUUAGAAGCAGCCAUCAUUUAAAGAAAGCGUAAUAGCUCACUGGUCGAGUCGGCCCGCGCGGAAGAUGUAACGGGGCUAAACCAUGCACCGAAGCUGCGGCAGCGACACUAAGUGUUGUUGGGUAGGGGAGCGUUCUGUAAGCCUGCGAAGGUGUACUGUGAGGUAUGCUGGAGGUAUCAGAAGUGCGAAUGCUGACAUAAGUAACGAUAAUGCGGGUGAAAAACCCGCACGCCGGAAGACCAAGGGUUCCUGUCCAACGUUAAUCGGGGCAGGGUGAGUCGACCCCUAAGGCGAGGCUGAAAAGCGUAGUCGAUGGGAAACGGGUUAAUAUUCCCGUACUGGUGGUAACUGCGAUGGGGGAACGGAGAAGGCUAGGUUGUCCGGGCGACGGUCGUCCCGGUUCAAGCAUGUAGGCAGAGUGAUUAGGCAAAUCCGGUCACUUAAUGCUGAGGUGUGAUGACGAACCACUAAGGUGGUGAAGCAAUUGAUGCCCUGCUUCCAGGAAAAGCCUCUAAGCUUCAGGUUACCAACAAUCGUACCCCAAACCGACACAGGUGGUCAGGUAGAGAAUACUCAGGCGCUUGAGAGAACUCGGGUGAAGGAACUAGGCAAAAUGGUGCCGUAACUUCGGGAGAAGGCACGCUGGCGGUAAGUGAAGUCCCUCGCGGACGGAGCCGAAGCCAGUCGAAGAUACCAGCUGGCUGCAACUGUUUAUUAAAAACACAGCACUGUGCAAACACGAAAGUGGACGUAUACGGUGUGACGCCUGCCCGGUGCUGGAAGGUUAAUUGAUGGGGUUAUCCUUAGGGAGAAGCUCUUGAUCGAAGCCCCAGUAAACGGCGGCCGUAACUAUAACGGUCCUAAGGUAGCGAAAUUCCUUGUCGGGUAAGUUCCGACCUGCACGAAUGGCGUAAUGAUGGCCAGGCUGUCUCCACCCGAGACUCAGUGAAAUUGAACUCGCUGUGAAGAUGCAGUGUACCCGCGGCAAGACGGAAAGACCCCGUGAACCUUUACUAUAGCUUGACACUGAACAUUGAGCCUUGAUGUGUAGGAUAGGUGGGAGACUAUGAAGUGUGGACGCCAGUCUGCAUGGAGUCAACCUUGAAAUACCACCCUUUAACGUUUGAUGUUCUAACCUAGGUCCAUAAUCUGGAUCGGGGACCGUGUCUGGUGGGUAGUUUGACUGGGGCGGUCUCCUCCUAAAGAGUAACGGAGGAGCACGAAGGUUGGCUAAGCAUGGUCGGACAUCAUGCGGUUAGUGCAAAGGCAUAAGCCAGCUUGACUGUGAGAGUGACGGCUCGAGCAGGUACGAAAGUAGGUCUUAGUGAUCCGGUGGUUCUGAAUGGAAGGGCCAUCGCUCAACGGAUAAAAGGUACUCCGGGGAUAACAGGCUGAUACCGCCCAAGAGUUCAUAUCGACGGCGGUGUUUGGCACCUCGAUGUCGGCUCAUCACAUCCUGGGGCUGAAGUAGGUCCCAAGGGUAUGGCUGUUCGCCAUUUAAAGUGGUACGCGAGCUGGGUUUAGAACGUCGUGAGACAGUUCGGUCCCUAUCUGCCGUGGGCGUUGGAAGAUUGAGAGGGGUUGCUCCUAGUACGAGAGGACCGGAGUGAACGCACCACUGGUGUUCGGGUUGUCAUGCCAAUGGCAUUGCCCGGUAGCUAAGUGCGGAAGAGAUAACCGCUGAAAGCAUCUAAGCGGGAAACUUGCCUCGAGAUGAGUCUUCCCUGUCACCUAGAGUGACCUAAAGGAACGUUUAAGACUAAGACGUUGAUAGGCUGGGUGUGUAAGCGUAGCGAUACGUUGAGCUAACCAGUACUAAUGAACCGUGAGGCUUAACCUGACAACACCGAAGGUGUUU
rnacentral:rRNA from 1 species